rnacentral:rRNA from 1 species
AUGGACCACCUAAGAAAGGCAAAGGGGAAGAACGCAGCUAAAAUCAUUCGCUCGGAAUUUUUUUGGAAAGCAGUAGAUACCGCUGUCAAUUUCUUUGAGCCAUUGGCAAAUGUUUUGAGGAGGAUGGAUAGCGAUGUUCCGGCAAUGGGUCUUCUUCAUGGUUGUAUGUUGGAUGCAAAGAAAGAGAUCUCCGUGAGGUUUGACAAUGACAAGUCUCGCUUUCUGGAAGUGUGGGAUAUCAUUGACAAGAGAUGGGACAACAAGUUGAAGACUGCAUUACAUAUGGCUGGAUACUACUUGAACCCAUACUAUUAUUAUCCAAACAAGCUUGAUAUUGAGAUCGAUGGUAGUUUCAAAGAAGGGCUGAUAACUUGUAUUUCAAAGAUGGUUGAAGAUCCUAUCAUGCAAGAAGAAUUAAUCGAUGAGACUGACCACUAUCAUGAGGGGAUAGGGUCUUUUGGAAGGGAAAUUGCUGUACGUCAAAGGAAAAACAAAAGGUUUGAUCCAGGUAAUUGGUUGCCUAAUUGUUGUUUCUUAUUUUGUUAUCCUGCCCAAAGUUCCCUAACAUGUCCCACUUGUCUUAUGUUGAAGCUAAAUGGUGGAUGA